AACGAACGCUGGCGGCAUGCCUAACACAUGCAAGUCGAACGAGAUCUUCGGGUCUAGUGGCGCACGGGUGCGUAACGCGUGGGAAUCUGCCCUUUGGUUCGGAAUAACAGUUGGAAACGACUGCUAAUACCGGAUGAUGACGAAAGUCCAAAGAUUUAUCGCCAAAGGAUGAGCCCGCGUAGGAUUAGCUAGUUGGUGUGGUAAAGGCGCACCAAGGUGACGAUCCUUAGCUGGGCUGAGAGGAUGAUCAGCAACACUGGGACUGAGACAAGGCCCCAACACCUACGGGAAGCAGCAGUGGGGAAUAUUGGACAAUGGGCGAAAGCCUUAUCCAGCAAGGCCGCGUGAGUGAUGAAGGCCUUAGGGUUGUAAAGCUCUUUUACCCGGGAUGAUAAUGACAGUACCGGGAGAAUAAGCUCCGGCUAACUCCGUGCCAGCCGCCGCCGUAA
rnacentral:rRNA from 1 species